AAGGAAGGAAACAUCAUCCUGUCAGUCAGUUCAGGCCUGACACUCACAUGGGGUAUUGGGGUGGGGGGGAGAGUCACAGAGAUGAGAAGUGCCAUUAUUAUCCUCCUCCCCCAACUAUGACCACGCACAGUGUGUUCACUCAGUCAUCAGAGGGGAAAGCAAAGAGGAAUUAUGGACAGGGACAAAUGCUUCAUCAAGAUUAGCCAGGACAGCAAGCUUCUGACAUGAUUUGGAUGGAAAAGGAACUUAUCUCUGACUUCAGAGGUCCCCAGAAAGGGGAGAAAUAUUGUAGGUGGCAGUGAGGAGCUUGCCAUCACUAAAGCAACUGAAGCAGAUGUAAAGCAGGGGUAUGUAAGACAGGAAUUGGUGUGCUGUGUUGCAAGUUCUAGCAUGUGACCUCUUGGUCCCUUUCAACUAGCUUGAAGUCUCAUGGCUAACUUCUUUGCUAUGACAUAUGGACAUACAAUUUGACAACCACAUCCCUGGUAGCCAAGCUCCUCUGCCUUCAUCAGAAGUGGGCCACUUUCCCUUUAGUGGCAUGGACUCAACAUGGACCUGAACCAUGGGCCUAUAGUUAAAGCUUGUGGAAUUAAAGUUGGAAUAACA